rnacentral:misc_RNA from 1 species
UCCGGUUUGGCACCGGCAGUCUCCCACGAGUCCCCGCCAUUACGCGCUGGCAACAUAGGAUAAGGGUUGCGCUCGUUGCGGGACUUAACCCAACAUCUCACGACACGAGCUGACGACAGCCAUGCACCACCUGUGAUAGGCCCAAAAGGACACCAUAUCUCUAUGGCUUUUCCUACCAUGUCAAACCCAGGUAAGGUUCUUCGCGUUGCCUCGAAUUAAGCCACAUACUCCACCGCUUGUGCAGGCCCCCGUCAAUUUCUUUGAGUUUUAACCUUGCGGCCGUACUCCCCAGGCGGAGAGCUUAAUGCGUUAGCUGCGUCACCAAUAAGCAUGCUUACUGACAACUAGCUCUCAUCGUUUAAGGCGUGGACUAC